rnacentral:rRNA from 1 species
AUUGAACGCUGGCGGCAGGCCUAACACAUGCAAGUCGAGCGGUUUAGGUAGCUUGCUACCGAUGCAGCGGCCACCGGGUGAGUAAUACAUGGGAAUCUGCCUGGUAGUGGGGGACAACGUUUCGAAAGGAACGCUAAUACCGCCUACGCCCUACGCGGGAACGGGGGGGAUCGCAAGACCUCUCGCUAUCCGAUGAGCCCAUGUCAGAUUAGCUAGUUGGUAGGGUAAAGGCCUACCAAGGGGACGAUCUGUAACUGGGCUGAGAGGAUGAUAAGUCAAACUGGAACUGAGAUACGGUCCAGAUUCCUACGGGAGGAAGCAGUGGGGAAUAUGGGACAAUGGGGGCAACCCUGAUCCAGCCAUGCCGUGUGUGUGAAGAAGGCCUUCGGGUUGUAAAGCACUUUUGUCCGGAAAGAAAUGGCUCUGGUUAAUACCUGGGGUAGAUGAAGGGACCGGAAGAAGAAGGACCGGCUAACUACGUGCCAGCCGCCGCAGUAACAC